rnacentral:misc_RNA from 1 species
GAUGAAGAACGUAGCAAAAUGCGAUAAGUAAUGUGAAUUGCAGAAUUCAGUGAAUCAUCGAAUCUUUGAACGCACAUUGCGCCCGCCAGUAUUCUGGCGGGCAUGCCUGUUCGAGCGUCAUUUCAACCCUCAAGCCCCCGGGUUUGGUGUUGGGGAUCGGGCUGUACUCCAGCCCGGCCCCGAAAUCUAGUGGCGGUCUCGCUGCAGCCUCCAUUGCGUAGUAGCUAACACCUCGCAACUGGAACGCGGCGCGGCCAAGCCGUUAAACCCCCAACUUUUGAAUGUUGACCUCGGAUCAGGUAGGAAUACCCGCUGAACUUAAGCAUAUCAAUAAGCGGAGGA